CACAGGGGGCGGCUCAGCCCUGGGGAGGGGGGCCUCGGGCAGGGCUCAGGGACCUUCUGGGGAAGACGGUGUCCCCACGGCCCCCAGGAAGGACCGUGAGGGGUUCUCCAGCCUGGCCAGGGCUGAGGCGGAGCGCCUGUGUCUCCCAACGGUCUUCCCAGAGCCGGGGUCCAGGCUGGGCGCAGCCAGUGCAGCCGUGGGAGACUCGCAGCCCAGACUCGCGGCCCAGACUCGCAGCCCAGACUCGCGGCCCAGGUGGGAGCCUCGCGGCCCAGACUCGCGGCCCAGACUCGCGGCCCAGGCAGGACCCGCCUCAUGGACGGGCCUUCCCACGGGGGUCAUGGCAGGAUGGCAGGCUCACCGAUGUAGCGCUCGC